GCCAAAAUAAGGGAGUUGCUGGUAACCACCAUAACAGUUUAUAGAUCUGUGGUGAAGGCACCGGCUUUUCUUUAGACCCCAUCUACCUCAUCUGCAUGCAGCAACAUGACAUCAAGUUUAAACUUCCCUAGCUUACCAAUGUCGGAGAAGGCAAUGGCACCCCACUCCAGUACUCUUGCCUGGAAAAUCUAAUGGACGGAGGAGCCUGGUGGGCUACAGUCCAUGGGGUCGCUAAGAGUUGGACACGACUGAGCGACUUCACUUUCACUUUUCACUUUCAUGCAUUGGAGAAGGAAAUGGCAACCCACUCCAGUGUUCUUGCCUGGAGAAUCCCAGGGACGGGGAGCCUGGUGGGCUGCCGUCUCUGGGGUCGCACAAAGUCGGACACGACUGAAGUGACUUACCAGCAGCAGCAACAGCCUACCAAUGUACUGAAAGUUUAGGGAAAAGAGUCCUUAUGACCGAAGGGAAAUAAAUACGGGAGGAAUUUAUCGUGUAAAUUCACACAUUCAGUAAAUGUGUUGGCCAUGCAGUGAGUGAGGGUAUAAAGACAAAUGAUACAAGUCUGCCAUUUAAAAGAGCAAUAUUUUUAAGGAAGCAAAUGAAACUCUUUCAGCUGUAUUCUGAAGGGCGGAGGGUUUUUCUGACUUUAGGUAAGAAAAGAGAAAGAUCUUGAAUUAAAAUUGCUUAUACGUUACCUUGUACACUUAAAAAAAACGUCGUUCAUAUUUUUAAGACUGGCUAUUUCAUCUUUUUAUCAAAAUGAGGUUUAGAGGAAAAGCGCAUAGCCCACUGACUGUUCCUCAUCAUUUUGACCUCACUGUUGUGUUAAAAUUUGUACUUUGUAUUUUAUUUUGCAGUUUGUCCUUUUCCUUACAUAACAUUAUAGGAGCUGUCUGAGUGAGUGAGAGAAUGUGUGUGUGUAUGUUUCCAAGCAACGUCUUUUGUAUUCUGAACUUGUUAAAUCUGGCCCGUGCUGUGCAUUCAGAAUUUGUGCUCACCAGGAUUGAAAAUCAGUCAGAGCCUAGCAGGUUCAUUAACAAGAUCUAUUCUCUGAAGUCUGAAAUUUCAAAGAAACUUUAUUUUAUUAAGACAAGGAAUUGGCAGAAGAAAAAAGUUGAGUGAGGGGUCAAAAAUAAAUCUCACAGUUUUAACCUUUUGCUAAUCUUUUAAGCCAUCUAAAACUGUGUUUUAAUUUUAAAACUGAUCCAGAAAAUUUAACUCCUCAACUACCAUUAGAAUGGGGGAAAUUUGGUUUGAAAACAAUUUUUUUCCUUUUUUCUAUUUCGUAACCUUUGUUUAUAGUCUGGGCUUAGUGUUAUCGCAGGUGAAAAUGAUUUCAGGAUAUUAAUCAAAUGAGAAUGUCUGCCUCGGAAAACUAAGUUGCUGAGGAAGAUAUUAAAGAGGAUGGGACCCAAGUGUGAAUAUUCUGAUCAACAAUAGUACAUUUUCUAAGUCGUGUCCGACUCUCUGUGACCCCAUGGAUUGUAGCCCACCCGGCUGCUCUGUCCAUGGGAUUUUCCAGGCAAGAAUACUAGAGUGGAUUGCCGUUGCCUUCUCCAGGAGAUCUUACUGACCUGGGAUUGAACCCACGCCUCCUGCAUAGGCAGGCAGAUUCUUCAGUGUGAACCACCUGAAAAGCCGCUCUUGUCUUCUGUUUGUUUGUUCAGUUGCUAAGUUGUGUCCGACUCUUUGUGAACCCAUGGACUUCAUCACAUCAGCCUGUCGUGUCCUUCACCAUCUCCUCAAGUUUGCUCAAACUCCUGUCCAUUGAGUUGGUGACGCCAUCCAGCCAUCUCAUAUCUUCUAGGUUGUUACAAAUCUGAGAUAAUUGUCCACCUUGGUUUAACCUCCCUCCCAUCCAGAUGAAUCGUUGUGUUGUUUUAGUUUGUACUCAUAUAUACUUAUUUACCAGUCUUAUUAAUAGUACUACUCAUUACUUGGGCCCCAUUUCUUUUUGAGAAAAUUUGUCUUCUUUGUAAAGCACU
ensembl:lncRNA